GUCGGUGUUUAUGACGAUGAGGGUCCACCCGUUCCCAUCCCGAACACGGAAGUUAAGCUCAUGCGUGCCGAAAAUACUUGGUGGGCGACUGCCCGGGAAAAUAGGUUGACGCCGACA
rnacentral:rRNA from 1 species